CACAAGUGCCAACGAUAACUUCGAGGCGCUCGCUAUCGCUGCAUAAGCGAUAAGCGCGGCACGGGGGGCGCCGGGCAACAGAAGCCCCCCACC
rnacentral:tmRNA from 2 species